UGGCGAAGUAGAAAAGUUCUGAAGAGAAAUUUUGUUAGGUUUGAAUUAACGUUUCGUUGUUUUGGGCAGUCUACUCGCCCGUCUGUAGAGGAAAACCGUAGACUAAAGGCGGGGCGUGUAGAAAUCAACCACGUCUGGACUUCAACGUAAUCAACAAAGUGCCUUCUCGAAACUAAACGAAAAUGAAUUUCGAGGCUUUUGGGUUCUUUACCUUGUGCCUGGCAUUUCUGUUUAUCAAGCCAGUCAAGAAUUCUUCAGAUGCUGACAGAGAGUGGCUGAGUAGGAUGAUCGAGUCUAUGGAGGCAAAGUCCGUUGGAAGUCAUCAGUACCCUGCCGGACAACAAUACAGAGUUGAUUCAAAUCUCAGCCCAUCCGGAGCUACUUUAGAUAGAAUUCUUCAAAGUCAAGAGAGCCUGCAAAAUACAAACGGACCAGGAAAAAAGCGAUUUGGUUUGCUUUUGUGCUGCAACCAUCCCCCCACGAAAAUACCAGCUAUUGGAACAAAACGUGAUGAAGAUUUUUCUUCCCUCAACAAGCUUGAUGUGGAUAUACUGAGAGGUAUCCUACUACCAAGGAUGUUGAAACAACCCAGUCCGAGGUCAAGUUCAUACGCACGGUUCAUUGAUAAUCUUCAGUCAGACUAUGACUCCCCAAGCUUGUUUGGCAUGGACAAACGAAAACGCCAGGAAGCUGCGGAACAACCUUACUACCUUGACGCAUCGACGGCUGAAGGCAAACGACAAUUCCAAUUGGUAAUGAGCAGGAACGGCGGAGAUGACAUUACAAUGGGGCAGCCAGCAUAGUAAACUUCUGCCACUCUUUGGAAGAUACAAUCGGCAGAUGAAUCAGGCACGCUUAGGAUACAGGUUCUGACAGUCAUCGAUCCUGGUGGGGAGUACAAAGAGAGAGAAUAUACAAAGUAAAUCUGAUGAAUCCGAGAUGUUGACAGUUCGUGCAAAGACUUUGGAAAAUAAAUCAGAGUCAGAGACACUUGAGACUUUUCAUUUAAUCGAGGUUGAUAAUAAAGCUAGUGAGACAAGAUGCCUUUGUUUGACUGCCGGA